UGCGGAAGGAUCAUUACCGAGUGUAGGGUUCCUAGCGAGCCCAACCUCCCACCCGUGUUUACUGUACCUUAGUUGCUUCGGCGGGCCCGCCAUUCAUGGCCGCCGGGGGCUCUCAGCCCCGGGCCCGCGCCCGCCGGAGACACCACGAACUCUGUCUGAUCUAGUGAAGUCUGAGUUGAUUGUAUCGCAAUCAGUUAAAACUUUCAACAAUGGAUCUCUUGGUUCCGGCAUCGAUGAAGAACGCAGCGAAAUGCGAUAACUAGUGUGAAUUGCAGAAUUCCGUGAAUCAUCGAGUCUUUGAACGCACAUUGCGCCCCCUGGUAUUCCGGGGGGCAUGCCUGUCCGAGCGUCAUUGCUGCCCAUCAAGCACGGCUUGUGUGUUGGGUCGUCGUCCCCUCUCCGGGGGGGACGGGCCCCAAAGGCAGCGGCGGCACCGCGUCCGAUCCUCGAGCGUAUGGGGCUUUGUCACCCGCUCUGUAGGCCCGGCCGGCGCUUGCCGAACGCAAAUCAAUCUUUUCCAGGUGACCUCGUUCAGUAGGAUACCCGCUGA
rnacentral:rRNA from 1 species